CCAUCGGAGAGUUUGAUCCUGGCUCAGGAUAAACGCUGGCGGCGUGCAUGAGACAUGCAAGUCGAACGGAUGACCAGGGCUUGCUCUGGUCGUUAGUGGCGGACGGCUGAGUAACGCGUAGGCGACCUGCCCCGAAGUGGGGAAUAACUGCCCGAAAGGGUGGCUAAUACCGCAUGUGGUCACACGUUCGAUCGUGUG
rnacentral:rRNA from 1 species